GACUUUAGGGCGUUACUUCUUCUUACUCAGGUACUUCUUCUAUUUGCCUGCAUCGGCUUGCCCAGGAGUGUUUGCGCUGCAAUAUCCUUGGUUGGGCUUCUUCGUUGUGGCCUUUCUUCGUGUGUUGUAUCAUUUGUUGGUUGUGUAUUCGUACCGUGCUACGCGUUUGUUCAUACUACGUACAGGCCAAAUUACUUCGUACCGUACUGUUUCACGUGUUUGUUGGGAUGUUUAAUGCACCUCGAGUUUCACGUUGAGGCAACGUAUAACUGCUUCGUGGUGCACUGAAUAAAUUAAGCAAGAACAAAUACAUGAGUUGUUAUAAUUUACAACAAUCGUACCGUUCUCCACUUCGUUUUGUUUUGAUGGAUAGAACCGUUCAAAUUUACUCCGGCCUUGUUGUUUGUUGUUCAGGCCUUUUGGGAGUAUACGUAUAAAACCAAUACCAUGACAAGACGGGAUUUGUGUUAAAAUCUCAAUUAUUUGUACGUUCUUUUCACGUGGUACAAUUUGAUCCGUAAAAAGGUGGGGUAAAUGUAUAUUUCAAAUAAUUUUAGGCUCGAUGCCAAUAAUUCGAUACUUGAUUUCGUAAAAUGUACCGUUAUACCCUUUUAUAUACGUUUGUAGUAAAAUUUGUAAAAUUUGUACCUACUUUUUCUGUAUAAUACUUUGAUGUGCUUUAAGAUUCGUUACAAGUACAAUUCAAACAAAUUUUGGCUACGUGUCAAUAAAUCCACACUCGUAAAAAUUUUACUACCGUAUAAGACAUUAAUACGUACACUUCCUUUUAAUCAAUUAAGUG
rnacentral:rRNA from 1 species